CAUGCAGUCGAGCGAUGAAGCUUCCUUCGGGAAGUGGAUUAGCGGCGGACGGGUGAGUAACACGUGGGUAACCUGCCUCAAAGUGGGGGAUAGCCUUCCGAAAGGAAGAUUAAUACCGCAUAACAUAAGAGAAUCGCAUGAUUUUCUUAUCAAAGAUUUAUUGCUUUGAGAUGGACCCGCGGCGCAUUAGCUAGUUGGUAAGGUAACGGCUUACCAAGGCAACGAUGCGUAGCCGACCUGAGAGGGUGAUCGGCCACAUUGGAACUGAGACACGGUCCAGACUCCUACGGGAGGCAGCAGUGGGGAAUAUUGCGCAAUGGGGGAAACCCUGACGCAGCAACGCCGCGUGGGUGAUGAAGGUCUUCGGAUUGUAAAGCCCUGUUUUCUGGGACGAUAAUGACGGUACCAGAGGAGGAAGCCACGGCUAACUACGUGCCAGCAGCCGCGGUAAUACGUAGGUGGCGAGCGUUGUCCGGAUUUACUGGGCGUAAAGGGUGCGUAGGCGGAUGUUUAAGUGGGAUGUGAAAUCCCCGGGCUUAACCUGGGGGCUGCAUUCCAAACUGGAUAUCUAGAGUGCAGGAGAGGAAAGCGGAAUUCCUAGUGUAGCGGUGAAAUGCGUAGAGAUUAGGAAGAACACCAGUGGCGAAGGCGGCUUUCUGGACUGUAACUGACGCUGAGGCACGAAAGCGUGGGUAGCAAACAGGAUUAGAUACCCUGGUAGUCCACGCCGUAAACGAUGGAUACUAGGUGUAGGGGGUAUCAACUCCCCCUGUGCCGCAGUUAACACAAUAAGUAUCCCGCCUGGGGAGUACGGUCGCAAGAUUAAAACUCAAAGGAAUUGACGGGGGCCCGCACAAGCAGCGGAGCAUGUGGUUUAAUUCGAAGCAACGCGAAGAACCUUACCUGGACUUGACAUCCCUUGCAUAGCCU
rnacentral:rRNA from 1 species